rnacentral:tRNA from 1 species
ACCUUCCUGGUGUAGCGGUCAGCACGCUCGACGCGUAACCGAGAGGUCCGUGGUUCAAUUCCCGGCUAAGGCA